rnacentral:rRNA from 1 species
GCCUGCAUGAAGCCGGAAUUGCUAGUAAUGGCAGGUCAGCAUACUGCCGUGAAUACGUUCCCGGGCCUUGUACACACCGCCCGUCACACCAUGAGAGUUGGGGAUACCCAAAGCCCGUGAGCCAACAUUUAAUGAGGCAGCGGUCUAAGGUAGAAUCAAUGAUUGGGGUGAAGUCGUAACAAGGUACC